rnacentral:rRNA from 1 species
AGACGAAUCAUCUGGAAAGAUGAAUCAAAGAAGGUAAUAAUCCUGUAGUCGAAAAUGUUGUCUCUCUUGAGUGGAUCCUGAGUACGACGGAGCACGUGAAAUUCCGUCGGAAUCUGGGAGGACCAUCUCCUAAGGCUAAAUACUCUCUAGUGACCGAUAGUGAACCAGUACCGUGAGGGAAAGGUGAAAAGCACCCCGGAAGGAGAGUGAAAUAGAACCUGAAACCGUGUGCUUACAAGUAGUCAGAGCCCGUUAAUGGGUGAUGGCGUGCCUUUUGUAGAAUGAACCGGCGAGUUACGAUUUGAUGCAAGGUUAAGCAGUAAAUGUGGAGCCGUAGCGAAAGCGAGUCUGAAUAGGGCGUUUAGUAUUUGGUCGUAGACCCGAAACCAGGUGAUCUACCCUUGGUCAGGUUGAAGUUCAGGUAACACUGAAUGGAGGACCGAACCGACUUACGUUGAAAAGUGAGCGGAUGAACUGAGGGUAGCGGAGAAAUUCCAAUCGAACCUGGAGAUAGCUGGUUCUCUCCGAAAUAGCUUUAGGGCUAGCCUCAAGUGAUGAUUAUUGGAGGUAGAGCACUGUUUGGACGAGGGGCCCCUCUCGGGUUACCGAAUUCAGACAAACUCCGAAUGCCAAUUAAUUUAACUUGGGAGUCAGAACAUGGGUGAUAAGGUCCGUGUUCGAAAGGGAAACAGCCCAGACCACCAGCUAAGGUCCCAAAAUAUAUGUUAAGUGGAAAAGGAUGUGGCGUUGCCCAGACAACUAGGAUGUUGGCUUAGAAGCAGCCAUCAUUUAAAGAGUGCGUAAUAGCUCACUAGUCGAGUGACACUGCGCCGAAAAUGUACCGGGGCUAAACAUAUUACCGAAGCUGUGGAUUGUCCUUUGGACAAUGGUAGGAGAGCGUUCUAAGGGCGUUGAAGCAUGAUCGUAAGGACAUGUGGAGCGCUUAGAAGUGAGAAUGCCGGUGUGAGUAGCGAAAGACGGGUGAGAAUCCCGUCCACCGAUUGACUAAGGUUUCCAGAGGAAGGCUCGUCCGCUCUGGGUUAGUCGGGUCCUAAGCUGAGGCCGACAGGCGUAGGCGAUGGAUAACAGGUUGAUAUUCCUGUACCACCUAUAAUCGUUUUAAUCGAUGGGGGGACGCAGUAGGAUAGGCGAAGCGUGCGAUUGGAUUGCACGUCUAAGCAGUAAGGCUGAGUAUUAGGCAAAUCCGGUACUCGUUAAGGCUGAGCUGUGAUGGGGAGAAGACAUUGAGUCUUCGAGUCGUUGAUUUCACACUGCCGAGAAAAGCCUCUAGAUAGAAAAUAGGUGCCCGUACCGCAAACCGACACAGGUAGUCAAGAUGAGAAUUCUAAGGUGAGCGAGCGAACUCUCGUUAAGGAACUCGGCAAAAUGACCCCGUAACUUCGGGAGAAGGGGUGCUCUUUAGGGUUAACGCCCAGAAGAGCCGCAGUGAAUAGGCCCAAGCGACUGUUUAUCAAAAACACAGGUCUCUGCUAAACCGUAAGGUGAUGUAUAGGGGCUGACGCCUGCCCGGUGCUGGAAGGUUAAGAGGAGUGGUUAGCUUCUGCGAAGCUACGAAUCGAAGCCCCAGUAAACGGCGGCCGUAACUAUAACGGUCCUAAGGUAGCGAAAUUCCUUGUCGGGUAAGUUCCGACCCGCACGAAAGGCGUAACGAUUUGGGCACUGUCUCAACGAGAGACUCGGUGAAAUCAUAGUACCUGUGAAGAUGCAGGUUACCCGCGACAGGACGGAAAGACCCCGUGGAGCUUUACUGUAGCCUGAUAUUGAAAUUCGGCACAGCUUGUACAGGAUAGGUAGGAGCCUUUGAAACGUGAGCGCUAGCUUACGUGGAGGCGCUGGUGGGAUACUACCCUAGCUGUGUUGGCUUUCUAACCCGCACCACUUAUCGUGGUGGGAGACAGUGUCAAGCGGGCAGUUUGACUGGGGCGGUCGCCUCCUAAAAGGUAACGGAGGCGCUCAAAGGUUCCCUCAGAAUGGUUGGAAAUCAUUCAUAGAGUGCAAAGGCAUAAGGGAGCUUGACUGCGAGACCUACAAGUCGAGCAGGGUCGAAAGACGGACUUAGUGAUCCGGUGGUUCCGCAUGGAAGGGCCAUCGCUCAACGGAUAAAAGCUACCCCGGGGAUAACAGGCUUAUCUCCCCCAAGAGUUCACAUCGACGGGGAGGUUUGGCACCUCGAUGUCGGCUCAUCGCAUCCUGGGGCUGUAGUCGGUCCCAAGGGUUGGGCUGUUCGCCCAUUAAAGCGGUACGCGAGCUGGGUUCAGAACGUCGUGAGACAGUUCGGUCCCUAUCCGUCGUGGGCGUAGGAAAUUUGAGAGGAGCUGUCCUUAGUACGAGAGGACCGGGAUGGACAUACCUCUGGUGUACCAGUUGUCGUGCCAACGGCAUAGCUGGGUAGCUAUGUGUGGACGGGAUAAGUGCUGAAAGCAUCUAAGCAUGAAGCCCCCCUCAAGAUGAGAUUUCCCAACUUCGGUUAUAAGAUCCCUCAAAGAUGAUGAGGUUAAUAGGUUCGAGGUGGAAGCAUGGUGACAUGUGGAGCUGACGAAUACUAAUCGAUCGAAGACUUAAUCAA